CCUGGAGACUCCUACGGGAGGCAGCAGUAGGGAAUCUUCGGCAAUGGGGGGAACCCUGACCGAGCAACGCCGCGUGAGUGAAGAAGGUUUUCGGAUCGUAAAGCUCUGUUGUAAGAGAAGAACGGGUGUGAGAGUGGAAAGUUCACACUGUGACGGUAUCUUACCAGAAAGGGACGGCUAACUACGUGCCAGCAGCCGCGGUAAUACGUAGGUCCCGAGCGUUGUCCGGAUUUAUUGGGCGUAAAGCGAGCGCAGGCGGUUAGAUAAGUCUGAAGUUAAAGGCUGUGGCUUAACCAUAGUAUGCUUUGGAAACUGUUUAACUUGAGUGCAGAAGGGGAGAGUGGAAUUCCAUGUGUAGCGGUGAAAUGCGUAGAUAUAUGGAGGAACACCGGUGGCGAAAGCGGCUCUCUGGUCUGUAACUGACGCUGAGGCUCGAAAGCGUGGGGAGCAAACAGGAUUAGAUACCCUUGUAGUCCAGAAGUG
rnacentral:rRNA from 1 species